rnacentral:lncRNA from 1 species
UGGAGCGCCCGGGCCCUCGGGCCCCGUGGGUCACAGCGGUUUGGCGCUCGGGUUGCAAAGUGGUGAUUCAGCACUUAAAGCCGCCACCGCUGCCCCUCACGCCGCCCGUCCCGCCGGCCUGGGGCCCGUACUGCCGCGCUGAGGCCGCCCCAGGGCCCGGAAGAGCGGCUCGCCAGGCGGGAGCCAGAGGCCUGGUCCAGAGUCGGGGACGUCCCUUGGGCUGGUGAGGGGCCGGGGCCGCUACCCGGGGCCACGGGGCGUGUGCCACUAGUGCGGGGGGCGCAGGGGCGGACAGAGUCACCCGGCCUGCACCUGGGAGCCGCGCCGCGUCACUCUCCCGGAGUCCGCCUGUGAGGGGGCCGGGAACCUGAGGCGGACUCGAGCCGUGGGGUAAAGGAAUCCGGCGACUUCGGGGGGACCGCUUCUCACCUUGCCCUCAGCCCUGCCCUUUUCUCCGGGCACUGAGUUUCCAGGACCGUGUGGAAUGCCCGCGCUGGGAAAAAAGUUUGCCUGCCUCCCGCCUUGGAAGACGAGUGUGGGGUUUCCUAUCGGGGGACAUUUAGGAGCCAAAAGAUACCUCGGGAUCCUCUACAGCAGCUCCCUUGUUUUACGUCGGAGACAACCGGAGCUCCGAGAGAUGGCUUGAUUUCCCAGCAACUGCCGAGAUUGUGGCAAAACCAGGAUUAGGACACAGGUUUUUUGCCAUCCGGCGGCGUGCCCUCUCCACUGCACCGUUGAUCUGCGUACGCUAGGCGUUUUCAGGCUUGUAGUGAACGCUGAAUACUUUUUACUACGAAUGGAAGAAGAUAGGCAGUAUUAUCUUGCCCUCCCUAGAAACGUUAUUUGAACCCCUGCUGGUUUUAAUCAGUAAUAGCCAGCACCUACUAAGUGCAGGGCACUGUGCUGGACCCUCUAUGUAAAGUAUGUGUCUGCCUUCCAAGGAACUUUGACUUGAUUGGAGCGGAUUGGGAUGCCACGGGAAUUGAGAUAGCUACAAGGGAACUACCAGGUUGUUUUUCAAAGCAGCGGCACUAUUUUGCAUUUCCACCAGCAGUGUGUGAAAAUUCCAAUUUCUCUAUAUCCUUGACAACACUUGCUAUAUGUACUUUUGUUAUAAGCCAUCCUGGUGGGUAUGAAGUGGUGUCUCAUUGGAAUUUUGACUUUCAUUUUCCUGAUGACCAGCUGGAGUGCAAUGGCACUAUCACGGCUCACCGCAAC